rnacentral:misc_RNA from 1 species
UUGCUUGAAAUGAAUUAGCUGGCGACCUGCCUUCAAUGGUUACCACUCGGCGUAGUAAGUCUUAUUCGUCGAGGACACCUUGUACCUUCACGGGAACAGGUGGCCAUUGUGCUGCGUCUUGAUAGCCGCUUCUAAUCGUCUCUGGACAAUAUAAUGAACUCUUUAAUCUCAACUCGGGUAGGACUACCCGCUGAACUUAA